rnacentral:tRNA from 1 species
AGAGUUCUGGCUUCUUGCGUCGCGUUCGCAAUGCGAAGGUCGGGAGUUCGAUCCUCCUCGGCUCCACCA